rnacentral:lncRNA from 1 species
CGGUGAUUAGAAGACAUACAAAAGAAAACAGUAAUCGCGACCCCUUGUUGUGUUCCAUUACCUCCCAGCUUACACGGAUCUUCCCCUUCCUGAAUGCCAGUGGGAGAUGCAUAAUGAAGCAGUCUGUCCUCGGCCAGUGCAGGAAUGGCUUUUCCCAUUGGCUUGGCUUCCUUUAUCACCCCCAGAAAGUAGAAACUCCACAAGUUUCCUCGUUCUUGAGAUUGCUUGAUCUAGAGAAGAUGAAGAAAUGGCUCUUGAGAUCAUUAAUCAAAAGUACUCAAAUGAAAAAGGCAAAGAUUUAUCUGAGUUCUGAAGAUACUGUUUCCUUAGCAGGAAAUGAAACUGCCAGUGUUUCACAAAGCAGACAAAGUACCUAAUUUGAUGAAGAAAUCAUGCUGACGCACCAGAAGAAAAUGAUCUUCAGCGUAAUCAACUGAACAUUUGUGUGUGUUUCUAAAAUUAAGUUGCCUUUUAAAAAAUCACAUUGCUUUAUAGACCAAGUCAUCUAUUGGUGUGAUCCACAAUUUAAAAUGUAUUUUAAGAAUUUCUGACUUAACAUGGUGAUUAGAUAACACAAAGUCACAACCAUUCAUAUUCGGGGAUAAGGUGGAUGGAGUUGGAAGUGGAAGGAAAAGCUACUGGAAAAGUUUAAGAACAGAGCAGUGUCAGCCAUACAUACUGCUUUUUAUUUUUUGAGAAUUUGCAUUUUUGAGUGACCUGUUUAUAUUUUUGCUUUAACCCAAUUAGCAAGUUGCACAGCUUUACCCGGUGGCAAAAGUUUGUUUUAAGUAACUAUUUUGUUAGCUGAUUAUUUCGUUUACCUUAUAGUCCUCCAGAUUACUUUAAAAAUUAUAGCUUGUAAUUCUUGCAAUAUAUGUUUCAUCACUUUGCUCAUCUUACAACCAUGACUUUCUCUACAAGAGUAACUGGAAAGCAAAAUAUUAGAAUUUCCAGCCUCCCUUGCAGCUAAAGGUUACCGUGUGACAUGUCCCAGCAAAUGAAGUGUAGGUAGACAUGCACAGAGAUGCUUUUCUUCAGCAUUUAAAAAAAGGGGGGCAAGCUAUAUGAGGACAGGCUCGGUAUUCUACCCUCUGCCUUCUCGCUUUCCCUGUGUGGAAAAUGGACACGUUGUUUGGUGGUGCUGGAAGUGACAAGCUAACUGCUGAGAGGAGUAGGAGUUAAUUAGCCAAAGGGAAACCAGGAUCUUCAAAGAAGGAUGGUGCCCUGCCUAGAAAUUAUACUUAAUAAAGCAUGAUGGAAGGAUUGGCUAUCUGGUGCA